rnacentral:rRNA from 1 species
GACAGAGGGUGCAAACGUUGUUCGGAAUUACUGGGCGUAAAGCGCGUGUAGGCGGCUAUGUAAGUCGGGCGUGAAAUCCCACGGCUCAACCGUGGAAGUGCACCCGAAACUGCGUAGCUAGAGUCCUGGAGAGGAAGGUGGAAUGCUUGGUGUAGAGGUGAAAUUCGUAGAUAUCAAGCGGAACACCGGUGGCGAAGGCGGCCUUCUGGACAGUGACUGACGCUGAGGCGCGAAAGCGUGGGGAGCAAACAGG